AGCGGCGGACGGGUGAGUAACGCGUGGGUAACCUGCCCUACACACACGGAUAACAUACCGAAAGGUAUGCUAAUACGAGAUAAUAUAAGAGAUUCACAUGGAUUUCUUAUCAAAGCUGAGGCGGUAUAGGAUGGACCCGCGUCUGAUUAGCUAGUUGGUAAGGUAACGGCUUACCAAGGCGACGAUCAGUAGCCGACCUGAGAGGGUGAUCGGCCACAUUGGAACUGAGACACGGUCCAAACUCCUACGGGAGGCAGCAGUGGGGAACAUUGCACAAUGGGCGAAAGCCUGAUGCAGCAACGCCGCGUGAGCGAUGAAGGCCUUCGGGUCGUAAAGCUCUGUCCUCAAGGAAGAUAAUGACGGUACUUGAGGAGGAAGCCCCGGCUAACUACGUGCCAGCAGCCGCGGUAAUACGUAGGGGGCUAGCGUUAUCCGGAUUUACUGGGCGUAUAGGGUGCGUAGGUGGUUUCUUAAGUCAGGAGUGAAAGGCUACGGCUCAACCGUAGUAAGCUCUUGAAACUGGGAAACUUGAGUGCAGGAGAGGAAAGUGGAAUUCCUAGUGUAGCGGUGAAAUGCGUAGAUAUUAGGAGGAACACCAGUAGCGAAGGCGGCUUUCUGGACUGUAAUUGACACUGAGGCACGAAAGCGUGGGGAGCAAACAGGAUUAGAUACCCUGGUAGUCCACGCCGUAAACGAUGAGUACUAAGGUGU
rnacentral:rRNA from 1 species